UUGGGAAUAUUGGACAAUGGAGGAAACUCUGAUCCAGUGACGCCGCGUGAAGGAAGAAGGUCUUCGGAUUGUAAACUUAUUUUAUCAGGGAAGAAAAAAAUGACUGUACCUGAAGAAGAAGCACCGGCUAACUACGUGCCAGCAGCCGCGGUAAUACGUAGGGUGCAAGCGUUAUCCGGAUUUACUGGGUGUAAAGGGCGAGUAGACGGCGUUGCAAGUCAGAUGUGAAAGGCUAGGGCUCAACCUUAGGAGAGCAUCUGAAACUGUAAUGCUAGAGUGCAGGAGAGGUAAGCGGAAUUCCUA
rnacentral:rRNA from 1 species